UACGUAGGGCGCAAGCGUUAUCCGGAAUUAUUGGGCGUAAAGAGCUCGUAGGCGGUUGUCGCGUCUGCCGUGAAAGUCCGGGCUCAACUCCGGAUCUGCGGUGGUACGGGCAGACUAGAGUGAUGUAGGGGAGACUGGAAUUCCUGGUGUAGCGGUGAAAUGCGUUGAUAUCGUUCGGAACACCAAUAGCGUAGGCAAGCUUCUGGGUGC
rnacentral:rRNA from 1 species